UACGUAGGGUGCAAGCAUUAAUCGGAAUUAUUGGGCGUAAAGGGCGCGUAGGCGGAUUUGUAAGUCAGAUGUGAAAUUCCGGGGCUCAACCUCGGAGCUGCAUUUGAAACUGUGAGUCUAGAGGGUUGACGGAGAAAACGGAAUUCCACGUGUAGCGGUGAAAUGCGUAGAUAUGUGGAAGAACACCGGUGGCGAAAGCGGUUUUCUAGUUAACACCUGACGCUGAGGCGCGAGAGCAAGGGGAGCAAACAGG
rnacentral:rRNA from 1 species